rnacentral:rRNA from 1 species
UCUUUUCCUUUUUUUCCCUCCCUCCUCUUUCCUACUUAUUAUUCUAUCUUUAUCCUUAUUUAUUGGGUUUAAAGGGAGCGCAGACGGGUCGUUAAGUCAGCUGUGAAAGUUUGGGGCUCAACCUUAAAAUUGCAGUUGAUACUGGCGUCCUUGAGUGCGGUUGAGGUGUGCGGAAUUCGUGGUGUAGCGGUGAAAUGCUUAGAUAUCACGAAGAACUCCGAUUGCGAAGGAAGAAAAAUAAGAAGUAAAUGAAGGGAAGGAGAGAAAGGGGGGGGAGAAAAAAGG